rnacentral:tmRNA from 1 species
GGGGGCGACAGGCUUCGACGGGGAUGAUGAAACCGGGGUUGCGUGCCGAGGUCUCCGGUUGGCCUCGUAAAACUACCGGAAACAAAUCAAGUGCCAACGAGUCUGAAUUCGCACUGGCUGCCUAAGUAAUUAGGCAGACGGCUCACCGAUAGCUACGGCUAUCGGCGUUCCCCCUGGAGAUGCCCGGGCUUCAGGAUGGAAUGUAACUUUACCGGGCUGGUCAUGAACGCGGGCGCCUUGCGGAUGUGACGAGAACUUAGGACGCUGGUUCCGCAGUUGGCCUGUCCAUGGGCUUGCGGCGGAACGAGACUUUAAGCAUGGACUAUGCACGUAGACGCCUCGGCAGAUGCGUUUCCGGACCCGGGUUCGAUUCCCGGCGCCUCCACCA